UUUGAAUAGAGUACAAGUAGAUUGACUAAUAAUGAAUAUAUUGUAUCAAGUUGUUGCAUUUGAAAACUGUGCAUGACUGCGGUCUUUAUCACUUUUAUUCUCAAGGUUCAUGUUGACCUAAAUUUAAAAGCCUUGGACGUUUGGAAAAUCUAUAGCACUGAGUUUGCGAAACCUUUUAGUGCCCUGAAAGAUUGACUGCUUCAAUUGUGUUUUCAAUAUCUUGUUAUUAACAUAUUUGUAUAUAUGUUAAUAUCUUGUGGAUGACUGAGAAAGUUUAUUCAUUUUGACAGAUUGCUUUUUGAAUAGAGUACAAGUAGAUUGACUAAUAAUGAAUAUAUUGUAUCAAGUUGUUGCAUUUGAAAACUGUGCAUGACUGCGGUCUUUAUCACUUUUAUUCUCAAGGUUCAUGUUGACCUAAAUUUAAAAGCCUUGGACGUUUGGAAAAUCUAUAGCACUGAGUUUGCGAAACCUUUUAGUGCCCUGAAAGAUUGACUGCUUCAAUUGUGUUUUCAAUAUCUUGUUAUUAACAUAUUUGUAUAUAUUAUGAAGGCUAAGCUGUGUAAAUGAGAGAUAAAACAUAAAAGGUCAAUACACA
rnacentral:lncRNA from 1 species